rnacentral:rRNA from 1 species
GACGAACGCUGGCGGCGUGCUUAACACAUGCAAGUCGAACGGAAAGGCCCUGCUUUUGUGGGGUGCUCGAGUGGCGAACGGGUGAGUAACACGUGAGUAACCUGCCCUUGACUUUGGGAUAACUUCAGGAAACUGGGGCUAAUACCGGAUAGGAGCUCCUGCUGCAUGGUGGGGGUUGGAAAGUUUCGGCGGUUGGGGAUGGACUCGCGGCUUAUCAGCUUGUUGGUGGGGUAGUGGCUUACCAAGGCUUUGACGGGUAGCCGGCCUGAGAGGGUGACCGGCCACAUUGGGACUGAGAUACGGCCCAGACUCCUACGGGAGGCAGCAGUGGGGAAUAUUGCACAAUGGGUGGAAGCCUGACGCAGCAACGCCGCGUGCGGGAUGACGGCCUUCGGGUUGUAAACCGCUUUCGCCUGUGACGAAGCGUGAGUGACGGUAAUGGGUAAAGAAGCACCGGCUAACUACGUG